rnacentral:rRNA from 1 species
ACUAGGAUUAGAUACCCUAUUAUUUUGAAUGUAAAUUUUUAUUCUGUGUUAGUAUUAGUUAUGUUCUUGAAAAUUAAAGAUUUUGGCGGUAUUUUAGUCCAUUCAGAGGAACCUGUCCUGUAAUCGAUGGUCCACGAAUUAAUUUACUUUCUUUUUGUUUGCAUAUCGUCGUAGUUUGAAAAUUUUUUUAGAAUUUUAAUUUUCAAAAUUUUUUUGGAAAGGAUAUCAGAUCAAGGUGCAGCUAAUAGGAAAGGAGAGAUGGGUUACAAUAAAUUUAUUUUGAGAAUUAAAUUUUGGAAAAGAAUUAUGAAUUUGGAUUUGAGAGUAAUUUUAAUUAAAUAAUUAAUGUGAUUUAGGCUCUAGAAUAUGCAC